CUACGGAGGGUGCGAGCGUUAAUCGGAAUUACAGGGCGUAAAGCGUGCGGAGGCGGUUUGUUAAGUCAGAAGUGAAAGCCCUGGGCUCAACCUGGGAACGGCUUUUGAGACUGGCAGACUCGAGUUGAGUAGAGGGGAGUGGAAUUUCCGGUGUAGCGGUGAAAUGCGUAGAGAUCGGAAGGAACACCAGUGGCGAAGGCGACUCCCUGGACUCAAACUGACGCUGAGGUACGAAAGCGUGGGUAGCAAACAGGAUUAGAUACCCCAGUAGUCC
rnacentral:rRNA from 1 species